AUGAACGCUGGCGGCGUGCCUAAUACAUGCAAGUCGUGCGAACAGACGAGGAGCUUGCUCCUCUGACGUUAGCGGCGGACGGGUGAGUAACACGUGGAUAACCUACCUAUAAGACUGGGAUAACUUCGGGAAACCGGAGCUAAUACCGGAUAAUAUAUUGAACCGCAUGGUUCAAUAGUGAAAGACGGUUUUGCUGUCACUUAUAGAUGGAUCCGCGCCGCAUUAGCUAGUUGGUAAGGUAACGGCUUACCAAGGCAACGAUGCGUAGCCGACCUGAGAGGGUGAUCGGCCACACUGGAACUGAGACACGGUCCAGACUCCUACGGGAGGCAGCAGUAGGGAAUCUUCCGCAAUGGGCGAAAGCCUGACGGAGCAACGCCGCGUGAGUGAUGAAGGUCUUCGGAUCGUAAAACUCUGUUAUUAGGGAAGAACAAAUGUGUAAGUAACUAUGCACGUCUUGACGGUACCUAAUCAGAAAGCCACGGCUAACUACGUG
rnacentral:rRNA from 1 species